UGGCAUAUGGGUUCCCUGGUUCAUUGCUCCCUAAGAACCAGAUAUUCAGACCCCUGGCUGCGAUCCCCUCCCCCAAGCACUCUGCAUCCGUCUUUUUGGAAACAACGUUCCUUGGGAAACAGCUCCGCAGGGCGAAGGCACCCCAGCUCUCCGUCACUAUGGCAACCCAACCCCUCCACACAUCCCUGAUUUCCAGAGGCUUGUUGCUGCGAGACAGACUCCGCCCCCACCCCAAAGCAGUCCCGCUGAAGCUUGAAGGAGUUAAAUCUGAAUCCUGGGGGAGGAAGUCUAAACCCAGGCGUUCUGGCCCCUCCUCCUUCCAUCCCUAGUUCAGGCUUCCCACUGCGGGGGUGCAAAGACCACAAGGCCUGGCUUCCUGCAGGCCUGGACACCAGGUCCUUGAGGACUGGGAGCUACAUCGCAGUUGGUAGUGGCUGGAGGCCUGGAUUCCUGGGUCCUGAGAGCCUGUGAGGACCCUUAUUUAUUUGGGUCCGCGUCGGGUCCUGCGGCCCUGUCCCUCCCCUUCCCCCAUCCCCCAGGACCUGGCCCGGCCUCACCUCGGCCGCACCGGGGCUCCCACCGGCCAGGCUCCCGACGGCGAGCUGCGCGCGCAGAAGCAGAAGCAAGAGUGGCAGCGGCA